UACGGGGGGGGCAAGCGUUGUUCGGAAUUACUGGGCGUAAAGGGCGCGUAGGCGGUGCUCUAAGUCGGAUGUGAAAACUCUGGGCUCAACCCAGAGCCUGCAUCCGAAACUGGAGUGCUAGAGUUCUGGAGGGGGUAGCGGAAUUCCUGGUGUAGCGGUGAAAUGCGUAGAUAUCAGGAGGAACACCUAUUGCGAAGGCAGCUCGCUGGGACGUUACUGACGCUGAGACGCGAAAGCGUGGGGAGCAAACAGG
rnacentral:rRNA from 1 species